GUUUGUUCCUGUUAGCUAUAAACUGUCAUUACCUUACAAUAUACAUUUCAUUUUCCAUAAUUUCUCUUUCUCAACAGAGAUGCAGUUCUUAUUUUUCUCAUAUGGGGGCGCUGUGCUGUUUAAACAUGUGGGAAACUUUAUCACAUGUUUUACUACAACAGACACGCAAGUACAAAUCAGCACAAUAGACAUUCAGAUGUUCAACAUGAUCCGAGCUGCCAGUAUUAUAUGGGUUUUAAUUAUAUGUCCUGGAGGUUUUUCUCAGAGUAAUCGUGUUAAACAGAAUCCUCCUGAUCUCUUUGGCAACCAUCAACAAUCUGUUAAAAUUCAGUGUGAACACAGUGUACCAAGUUAUAAUCAGAUCAACUGGUACAGACAAGACCAGGGACUGACCUUUAUUGGAUAUCAAAUAGGAACAUCAUCAACACAUACUGAAAAUGAUUUUAAGGCUAAAGUGGAGAUUGUUGCUGUUGGAAGCAAAAACGUCUCUUUGACCAUCAAAAAUCUUUUAUCCAAUGACAGUACAGUGUACUUCUGUGCUGCUUAUUACACAGUGCUGCAUAUCUGCUUUGUUCAGUACAAAAACCUCUGUGUAAAUAUUCUCAGUAUCUCAUUAACACCUGCUCCUGUGGCCUGGAAUUGACACAUUGCCAGUGUUUUUAACAGAAAAGCCACACAUCUAAUCUAAUUUAAGAAUUAAUCUUUUCUUACAGA